UACGUAGGCAGCAAGCGUUGUUCGGAAUUACUGGGCGUAAAGCGCGCGUAGGCGGUUUGUUAAGUGGGAUGUGAAAUCCCCGGGCUUAACCUGGGAAUUGCAUUUCAAACUGGCCGACUAGAGUACGGUAGAGGGAGGUAGAAUUUCCUGUGUAGCGGUGAAAUGCGUAGAUAUAGGAAGGAAUACCAGUGGCGAAGGCGGCCUCCUGGAUCGAUACUGACGCUGAGGCGCGAAAGCGUGGGGAGCAAACAGG
rnacentral:rRNA from 1 species